UGGGGAAUAUUGCACAAUGGGCGCAAGCCUGAUGCAGCCAUGCCGCGUGUGUGAAGAAGGCCUUCGGGUUGUAAAGCACUUUCAGCGGGGAGGAAGGCGUUAAGGUUAAUAACCUUGGCGAUUGACGUUACCCGCAGAAGAAGCACCGGCUAACUCCGUGCCAGCAGCCGCGGUAAUACGGAGGGUGCAAGCGUUAAUCGGAAUUACUGGGCGUAAAGCGCACGCAGGCGGUCUGUCAAGUCGGAUGUGAAAUCCCCGGGCUCAACCUGGGAACUGCAUUCGAAACUGGUAGGCUAGAGUCUUGUAGAGGGGGGUAGAAUUCCAGGUGUAGCGGUGAAAUGCGUAGAGAUCUGGAGGAAUACCGGUGGCGAAGGCGGCCCCCUGGACAAAGACUGACGCUCAGGUGCGAAAGCGUGGGGAGCAAACAGG
rnacentral:rRNA from 1 species